CACCGCGGUUAUACGAGAGACCCAAGUUGACAGACUCGGCGUAAAGAGUGGUUAUGGGUACAAUAAGCUAAAGCUGAACGCCUCUCAGGCUGUUAUACGCCCCCAGAAGGCGGAAACUCGCAGACGAAAGUAGCUUUACCAGAUAGACCAGAGCCCACGAUAGCUAGGGUA
rnacentral:rRNA from 1 species